AGCGAACGCUGGCGGCAGGCCUAAUACAUGCAAGUCGAGCGGCCCUUCGGGGCAGCGGCGGACGGGUGAGUAACGCGUGGGAAUGUGCCCUUUGGUACGGAACAACACAGGGAAACUUGUGCUAAUACCGUCUGUGCCCUUCGGGGGAAAGAUUUAUCGCCAUUGGAGCAGCCCGCGUUGGAUUAGGUAGUUGGUGAGGUAAAGGCUCACCAAGCCUACGAUCCAUAGCUGGUCUGAGAGGAUGAUCAGCCACACUGGGACUGAGACACGGCCCAGACUCCUACGGGAGGCAGCAGUAGGGAAUCUUGCGCAAUGGGCGAAAGCCUGACGCAGCCAUGCCGCGUGAAUGAUGAAGGUCUUAGGAUUGUAAAAUUCUUUCACCGGGGAAGAUAAUGACGGUACCCGGAGAAGAAGCCCCGGCUAACUUCGUGCCAGCCGCCGCAGUAACAC
rnacentral:rRNA from 1 species